rnacentral:sRNA from 1 species
UCCAAAGAUCUACUCAAGGACCUCCCAGAGUUGCCCAAACUUCUGACCCAGACUCUUCAGAGGCCUGCGCGGAGGAAGAGGAAGGGCUCAUGCCUCAAGGUCCCCAGCUCCUGGACUUCAGCGUGGACGAGGUGGCCGAGCAGCUGACCCUCAUGGACUUGGAGCUCUUCUCCAAGGUGAGGCCCUACGAGUGCUUGGGCUCCGUGUGGUCGCAGAGGGACCGGCCGGGGGCUGCAGGCGCCUCCCCCACUGUGCGCGCCACCGUGGCCCAGUUCAACACCGUGACCAGCUGUGUGCUGGGUUCCGUGCUCGGAGCACCGGGCUUGGCCGCCCCGCAGAGGGCGCAGCGGCUGGAGAAGUGGAUCCGCAUCGCCCAGCGCUGCCGAGAACUGCGGAACUUCUCCUCCUUGCGCGCCAUUCUGUCCGCCCUGCAAUCUAACCCCAUCUACCGGCUCAAGCGCAGCUGGGGGGCCGUGAGCCGGGAACCGCUAUCUACUUUCAGGAAACUUUCGCAGAUUUUCUCCGAUGAGAACAACCACCUCAGCAGCAGAGAGAUUCUUUUCCAGGAGGAGGCCACUGAGGGAUCCCAAGAAGAGGACAACACCCCAGGCAGCCUGCCCUCAAAACCACCCCCAGGCCCUGUCCCCUACCUUGGCACCUUCCUUACGGACCUGGUUAUGCUGGACACAGCCCUGCCGGAUAUGUUGGAGGUCUGACCCCUGACCCUUGACCCCUGACCCCAGCUCCACUUGCCCCCAGCACAAUGGGCCUCCCGAUAUCCACCCUUGAUCCUACCUGUACUCCUGACACCACCCCACACUCCCUUACUACAGUGGGGCUCCUGACAUCCCAGCCCCUGACCUUGACCCUUGACCCUGGGUGCUGCAAUUCAGACACACUUUGCCCCCAGGGGGAUCUCAUUAACUUUGAGAAGAGGAGGAAGGUGAGUGGAGGCUACAGUGGGUGUGGGGGUGGUGCCUGAGGGUGGGGGUGGGGCAGGGGUAGGGUCUCAGAGGCUCGUCCUCCAGGAGUGGGAGAUCCUGGCCCGCAUCCAGCAGCUGCAGAGGCGCUGUCAGAGCUACACCCUGAGCCCCCACCCGCCCAUCCUGGCUGCCCUGCAUGCCCAGCACCAGCUCACCGAGGAGCAGAGCUACCGGCUCUCCCGGGUCAUUGAGCCACCAGCUGCCUCCUGCCCCAGCUCCCCACGCAUCCGACGGCGGAUCAGCCUCACCAAGCGUCUCAGUGCGAAGCUUUCCCGAGAGAAAAGCUCAUCACCUAGUGGGAGUCCCGGGGACCCCUCAUCCCCCACCUCCAGUGUGUCCCCAGGGUCACCCCCCUCAAGUCCUAGAAGCAGAGAUGCUCCUGCUGGCAGUCCCCCGGCCUCUCCAGGGCCCCAGGGCCCCAGCACCAAGCUGCCCCUGAGCCUGGACCUGCCCAGCCCCCGGCCCUUCGCUUUGCCUCUGGGCAGCCCUCGAAUCCCCCUCCCGGCGCAGCAGAGCUCGGAGGCCCGUGUCAUCCGCGUCAGCAUCGACAAUGACCACGGGAACCUGUAUCGAAGCAUCUUGCUGACCAGUCAGGACAAAGCCCCCAGCGUGGUCCGGCGAGCCUUGCAGAAGCACAAUGUGCCCCAGCCCUGGGCCUGUGACUAUCAGCUCUUUCAAGUCCUUCCUGGGGACCGGGUGCUCCUGAUUCCUGACAAUGCCAACGUCUUCUAUGCCAUGAGUCCAGUCGCCCCCGGAGACUUCAUGCUGCGGCGGAAAGAGGGGACCCGGAACACUCUGUCUGUCUCCCCAAGCUGAGGCAGCUCUGUCCUCUCCACAAGACACAAGUCCCACAGGCAAGCUUACGACUCCUCUCCUGGAAAGCUGCCAUCCCCCAGUAGAGGCCACUGUGCUGUGUAUCCCAGGACCACCACCCAACUGUAGCCCAUUGGACCCCAUCUCUUUUUCUGACUCUGUUGGUACUAGAUCCAUAUUCCAAAGACAUCAGCCCAUGGGUGGCUGGUGGAGAGCUCAAUCCCAUAAAUGUAGAAAGAGGUGGGGCAUGGAUACGUCAGAUCCCUCCCCAGAGAAAUCUUAUAAAUGUUAGAGACGCAUCAGAAGUGACAGAUGCGGAUGAAAAUAGUGAACAGAGUUAUGAAACAGG